rnacentral:snRNA from 1 species
AUGUUCACUUUAGCAGCACAUAUUUUAAAUUAGAAUGAUACAGAGAAAAUUAGCAUGGUUUCUGUACAAGGAUAACAUGCAAAUUUGUGAAGUGUUCCAAAUUUAA